UGGGGAAUAUUGCGCAAUGGGCGAAAGCCUGACGCAGCUACGCCGCGUGGGUGAUGAAGGCCUUCGGGUUGUAAAGCCCUGUCGGGAGGGAAGAAGUUCUGACGGUACCUCCCAAGAAAGCACCGGCUAACUCCGUGCCAGCAGCCGCGGUAAUACGGAGGGUGCAAGCGUUGCUCGGAAUCAUUGGGCGUAAAGCGUACGCAGGCUGUUCGUUAAGUCGGGUGUGAAAGCCCGGGGCUCAACCCCGGAACUGCGCCCGAAACUGGCGAGCUUGAGUGCGGGAGAGGGAAGCGGAAUUCCUGGUGUAGAGGUGAAAUUCGUAGAUAUCAGGAGGAACACCGGUGGCGAAAGCGGCUUCCUGGCCCGACACUGACGCUCAUGUACGAAAGCGUGGGGAGCAAACAGGAUUAGAUACCCCCGUAGUCCCUGAGCGGGCUGGCAAGGCGCAU
rnacentral:rRNA from 1 species